GGGUUAACUGAAACUGAAUAAGUUCAUUUCUUUGGUUGUCAAGUUGAAUAUUAACAUAAUCCUCGGUGUCAUCGAUGUAUUCCCUAACCGAUAAUAUCCUGUUACGAGUCCCAUCCAACUGCAUAAAGUAUGCCUCGAGCAACAUCUCCAAGUCCUCUACGUCAUUAUCAUCCAAAAGGUUGCUGGUCACCACACUGCCACUCCUGGUGGAACUAAGUAGACGAAGAUGAGGAACGAUAGCAGUCGUGCUGUUGGAAGCCACACCUCCCGGCAAAGCAUCAAAUUGUUGAUUCUGCAUCCAUUUCCUUGUCAAAUAUAGUUGUGCCAUAUCUUCAUUAUCA
rnacentral:misc_RNA from 1 species